AGCUGCACAAUGUUCUCAUUCGGAAACUCUACAGGGAAAACCUCUUUGAAGACAUGUUGAGGGAACCUGCUGACAUUGUAGCGAAAAGGAAACAUAUCUGUGAAACACUCCAUGUUUUGCAACAGGCAUACAGGACAUUGGAAGAAUUACCUCUUGAUGCUCAGGCUGCUGUGAAAGGCUUUAGUCUCGAUACUGUUCCAACCGGUCUGCCAAAGAUCCAUGGUCUUCCUCCAUCCUUCUAUGUGACAGAUGCUAAUGGGGGCGGACAUCAUUCUGGAUUGGGUCUUAUCCUUCAGUUGACACAUGACACUUGAAGAAGUACCAUUUAUGCACUCUGUUGGAUAAAAUACAUGAUCAGUUGCUUUUUUUUUAGUCUAGAUUCAGUCUUCUGUGCCAGCUUGACACCAGUGGGUGAAGUGCAGUUCAGAUAAUUGCAGCAUGUAUGGUAGUCAUCAUUCUUUUUUUUCCUAAGGAGCAACAACCUUUCAAACCCUUCAGAAAAUAAUGUGAGUGGACUUCUCUCUGAUCAAUAAGAUCAACUACAAAUGUCAAAUUUUGUUUCUUGGAGAGAUUUUUGUGGGUAAGUAAUUGUAUUAUAUUUCUCAAACUUGGAUUCCUGGUUGUGUAUACAAGCUAAUCCUUAUAUGCUCAGUUGUGAUUGCAGUGACAAAUAUGGAACUUGUGUAUUAGUACAUGGAGCUUCAUUUUUGCCAAAACAAUGGAGGGGUUGUUAUCUGUUAUAAUUUACUCAGUUACCUAUUUUUCGAAAAGAAAAGGAAAAUAAAAUUUGCUUAAUUUUUUUUUUUUUGUAACCUGUGCUUCCUCAUUUAUCUUUUAUAUUUUCUUUUCUCUUAGAACAAAUAUGCCAUGUAUAUAUCUGUCUGACUGCUUCCUCUGUUAAAGCAGGUUGAUGAGGCCUGAAAUUUUCUUUGAACUGAUUGCAGUCUUUCACAUUGUGCCGUUGUUUUGGCAUCUCCAAUUUUUCAUCCAUGGUAUGCUUGCAUGGAUCUUAAAACCAAAGUUAUAUAAUUCAGCCACAAUCAUUAUUAAAAGUUGUUUCAUGCACUGGAAAUUUUGGUUGGAGAUUUGAACCAAAUGUUUGGGAUAGAACGGUGCUUGAAACCCAGGGAGUGCGAGCUGCAACCAGAAGGGAGCCCAAGCUGUAGGAAUUGACCCAUGUUGCAAUCAGUUGCAUCAUCAAAUAUUGGAGAUACAGCACUAUUGUCAUGGUCAAUAUGUGUCACGAUAGCAUCUGCUUGCCCUGCAGUAGGCUCGAAUGGCUGAGAAUCUGGAAAAGCAAGGGCUAAAUUCUGUUGCUGAGGGCAGAUCAUAGGGCGUUCAGCUAAUGACAGCUGCCAUGGCCUUGAAGGACCUGGGUCUGUAAAUGAUGUAGCACAUGGUUGGUUGGAGCUGCUUGAUCCCAUAAGCUUCAUCUGUGCGGUUAAUUGAUUAACCAUCAUGGAAUGGGAGAAUGGAUAAUUAUCAUAUAAUGGGUUCUUGUCAUGGUUGCAGUCAUUGUCUUCCAUCUCACAAUUCAUCAUUGCCACAAGCUCCUUGUCUGUCAACUGGAAAAGUGAAAUGGUAUAAUUAGAACCACAGGUAUGAGCCCUUCAUUGGUACAA